rnacentral:rRNA from 1 species
CCUACGGGAGGCAGCAGUGAGGAAUAUUGGUCAAUGGACGAGAGUCUGAACCAGCCAAGUAGCGUGAAGGAUGACUGCCCUAUGGGUUGUAAACUUCUUUUAUAUGGGAAUAAAAUGUUCCACGUGUGGGUUUUUGUAUGUACCAUAUGAAUAAGGAUCGGCUAACUCCGUGCCAGCAGCCGCGGUAAUACGGAGGAUACGAGCGUUAUCCGGAUUUAUUGGGUUUAAAGGGAGCGUAGGUGGAUUGUUAAGUCAGUUGUGAAAGUUUGCGGCUCAACCGUAAAAUUGCAGUUGAAACUGGCAGUCUUGAGUACAGUAGAGGUGAGCGGAAUUCGUGGUGUAGCGGUGAAAUGCUUAGAGAUCACGAAGAACUCCGAUUGCGAAGGCAGCUCACUGGACUGCAACUGACACUGAGGCUCGAAAGUGUGGGUAUCAAACAGGAUUAGAUACCCUUGUAGUC